CCGAUGUCCCAAACACGCCAGCUACUUCAGGACAUAUGUUCCGUCUGCCUCUCCAUUUCCCUUGCUUUUCAAAUCAGUCAUGACCGACUAUUGAGCAACCGUUGAAGAAGAAGAGAAGGGAAGACAGGUGUGUGAAAUGGAGAGCAGUGAAGAAGACGACGAAUUCCCAUCAAUUGAAAGAAUCAUCCCACAGUCGAAGGUCGAUUCGCUUUACCAAUCCCAGACUGAAAAGGGAAUAAGAAAGCUUUGUUGUGAGCUCUUGGAUUUAAAGGAUGCCGUGGAGAACUUAUGUGGCAAUAUGCACGCAAAAUACUUGGCUUUCUUGAGAAUAUCUGAAGAGGCUGUGGAAAUGGAACAUGAAUUAAUUGAGCUGCAAAAGCAUAUUUCAGCUCAAGGGAUCCUUGUUCAGGAUUUAAUGACUGGUGUCUGCCGUGAAUUGGAAGAGUGGAAGCAAUCUAAUGGUGAAAACCAUGAAGCUCAGCAAGACCCUGAUAUUUCUGAACUUCAAGUUCCCUUGGCAAGUGAAAGGGAUGAUGAUAAGAUAAUAUUUUUGGAGAAGGUUGAUGUUCUCUUGGCCGAACACAGAGUUGAAGAAGCACUAGAGGCUUUAAAUGCUGAAGAGAGAAAUUCUUCGGAGCUGAAAGGCUCUGGAGAUAAUUCAGUAGGUGAAGUGUCAGAGUACAAAUCUGCUUUUUUUAAAAGAAAAGCAAUGCUUGAAGAUCAACUGGUUCAAAUUAUUGAACAGCCUUCUGUUGGUGUUCUGGAGAUGAAGAAGGCCUUAUCUGAUUUAAUUAAACUUGGAAAAGGUCCUCUGGCACAUCAUUCACUCCUAAAAUCUAAUGGGUUGCGCCUCCAAAAGAACAUUGAGGUUCUUCUUCCUUCGUGUUGUGUCUGUCCAAAAACAUUUUCUGCUACAUUAUCUAAACUUGUAUUUUCAAUGAUUUCACUGACAAUAAAGGAGUCUGCUUCAAUAUUUGGUGAUGAUCCUAAUUAUACAAACAGAAUCGUUCAAUGGGCUGAGUGGAAAAUUGAAUAUUUUGUACGGUUGGCGAAAGAGAAUGGACCUUCUUAUGAGACAGAUUCUGCAUUACGAGCUGCUAGCAUUUGUGUUCAGGCUAGUCUCAGUUACUGCUCCAUGUUGGAAUCACAAGGCCUGAAACUGUCAAAAUUACUUUUAGUGCUUUUGCGACCUUACAUUGAAGAAGUUCUAGAGUUGAAUUUCAGACGAGCCAGAAGAUUACUUUUCAAUUUGGUAGAACUUGAUGAGGGUCUAUUCUCACCUCACUCUGCAGCUUCAUUGUCUGCAUUCGCAACAUCAUCAGAGGGCAUUCUUGUUGAGAGCGGAAUGAGAUUUAUGUAUAUUGUCGAAGAUAUAUUGGAACAGCUAACCCCCUUGGCUAUUAUGCAUUUUGGAGGAAAUGUAUUAAGUAAAAUCUCACAGCUGUUUGAUAAAUACAUGGAUGCUUUGAUCAAAGCUCUAUCAGGCCCCUCUGAUGAUGACAAUUUUAUAGAGUUGAAAGAAGUGAUACCCUAUAGAGCUGAAACAGAUUCAGAACAGCUGGCAAUCCUGGGAAUAGCAUUUACCAUUUUAGAUGAGCUGUUACCAAAUGCUGUAAUGAUUAUUUGGAAGCGGCAGAAUGAAAGCAAUGAACCAAAAAGUGGACCCGCUGAAAAUGUUGUGCCUGGUACAGGCUCUACAAUAGAAUUGAAGGAUUGGAAGCGCCAUCUUCAGCACUCAUUUGACAAGCUUAAAGAUCACUUCUGUCUGCAGUAUGUUGUGAGUUUCAUCUAUGCAAGUGAAGGAAAAACACGAUUAGAUGCACAAAUUUACUUGAAUGCUGGGGAGGAUCUCUACUGGGGCUCUGACCCUCUGCCUUCACUUCCAUUUCAGGCAUUAUUUGCUAAGCUGCAGCAGUUGUCUACUGUUGCUGGAGAUGUGUUACAUGGAAAAGACAAACUACAAAAAAUCUUACUAGCUAGGCUGACAGAGACAGUUGUAAUAUGGUUGUCUGAUGAACAAGAAUUUUGGGGGGUGUUUGAGGAUGAUUCAACUCCCCUUCAGCCACUUGGGUUGCAGCAGUUAAUUCUUGAUAUGCACUUCACUGUUGAAAUUGCACGUUUCGCUGGCUACCCAUCUCGGAAUGUUCACCAGAGUGCAUCAGCCAUAAUUGCUCGUGCAAUUAGGACCUUCUCUGCUAGAGGCAUAGACCCACAAAGUGCCCUCCCUGAGGAUGAGUGGUUUGUUGAAGCUGCUAAAUCAGCAAUAAACAAAUUAUUAGAACCUGGGUCAGAUACAUCUGAAGUCGAUGAAGAUCACAUCAUUCUGCCUGAUGAGAUUGUGACAGAUUCAGAUGAGACUGCCUCUUCCCUCUCAACGCUGGAAUCUUUUGAGUCUUUUGCUUCUGCAAGUAUGGGUGAACUUGAUAGCCCUAUUUUCACUGAUCCUGAGAACUGAAAGUUUCUCUCCUAUUCAAAGGGGGAAAACCGUGGAUUCAAGUUUUGGCUGUUACCUUUCACUCUGACAGUGAAUUUUAAGAAGGGAUUUCAAGGGUUCUUCCAGCCACUUGUACUUGAGAAGUUUGUGCAUCUGCAGCUUCAAAAGCCUGUGACAGCCCCCAGGAUUUGGUUUCUGCAUCCAUUGCUCUGCAGAAAAUGGGACUGAUUAAUAAUUGCGGGGAGCGUCUUGUCAUCUUCAGCUGAAGUUGUUGUACUAAUUCUAGAAUAGUUUCUACUACUGAAAAAUAAGUAAUUAGUCCUCUCGCUCUCUCUCCUUUCCUUUGUCUUUGUCUGCUCAUUUCCUCAGGCGUCUGUGGUAAUUUUGCCAUGUUUAUCUUGUUUGGUUUAAAUCUAAUAACGAGUUAUUAAUCG